CGGAGAUGUAGCGAAAGCGAGUCUUCAUAGGGCAAUUGUCACUGCUUAUGGACCCGAACCUGGGUGAUCUAUCCAUGACCAGGAUGAAGCUUGGGUAAAACUAAAUGGAGGUCCGAACCGGCUGAUGUUGAAGAAUUAGCGGAUGAGUUGUGGUUAGGGGUGAAAUGCCACUCGAACCCAGAGCUAGCUGGUUCUCCCCGAAAUACAUUAAGGCGCAACAGUUAAUUGGACAUCUAGGGGUAAAGCACUAUUUCGAUGCGGGCCACAAGAGCGGUACCAAAUUGAGGCAAACUCUGAAUACUAGAUAUGACCUCAAAAUAACAUAGGUCAAGGUCGGCUAUUAAUAUGAUGGGGGAUAAGCUUCAUCGUCGAGAGGGAAACAUCCCGGAUCAUGUGAUGACCCAAAAUAUCAUCUUUAAAUUUAAUAAUUAAUUAUGUGUUCUAAGACCUCAAAAAGCACUAUUAAUCAUUCAUCGACUUGCGUACGCAGUCCAUAAAAUUUUUCGAAAAGUUUUUAUGUGAAAAAUAGAUUAAAAUAUGAAUUAGAGCUUUAAACUCAACUAAGUUGACUUUGGUCAAUAUUUUGAGCAAACUGACUCAGAUCAGUAUUUUGACAGUUCCGGUAGGUCCGUAUCGUGAUUUGGGACAUGGGCAUAGUCCCGAAAUUUAAUUCCGAAGUCCCUAGCCCGAGAUAUGGAAUUUUGAUAAAAAACUAAAAGUUUAAGUUCAAAUAGUGACCGAAUGUCGAAUUAUAUGUAAACGACCCCGGAAUAGAAUUUUGAUGAUUCCAACAGCUCCGUAUGGUGAUUUUGGACUUAGGAGCGUGAUCGAAAAUUUAUUUGAAAGUCCGUAGUGAAAUUAGGCUUGAAAUGGCUAAAAUAGGAAUUUAAGUUUGGAAGUUUGACCGGGGAGUUGACUUUUUGAUAUCGGGGUCGGAAUCUAGUUCUAAAAGUUUUCACAGCUCCGCUAUGUAAUUUAUGACUUGUGUGCAAAAUUUGAGGUUAAUCGGACUUGAUUUGAUAGGUUUCGACAUGGAAUGUAGAAGUUGGAAAUUGAUGAGUUUCAUUAAGCUUGAAUUGGGGUGUGAUUUGUGAUUUUAGCAUUGUUUGACUUGAUUUGAGGUUUCAAAUUAGUUCGUAUGAUGUUUUAGGACUUGUUGGUGUAUUGGGUUGUGGUCCCGAGGGCUUCAGGUGAGUUUCGGAUGGUUAACGGAUCAAAAGUGGGACUUAGUUGCUGCAAUUUUUCUGCUGGAAAUGCUGUAAAAAUCGGGCUGCCUGUCAAAAUCAGGCUGCCUGUCAAAAUUAGGUUGCCUGUCAAAAUCGGGUUGCCUAUCAAAAUUGGGUACCCUGUAAAAAUCGGACUACCUGUAAAAAUCAGGCUCCCUGACAAAUCGGGCUCCCUGACAAAUUGGGCUCACUUAUAAAUCGGGCUCCCUGAAAAAUCAGGCUCUCUGACAAAUCGGGCUCCCUGACAAAUCGAGCUCCCUGACAAAUCGGACUCCUUGGCAAAUCGAUCUCCUUGACAAAUCGAGCUCCCUGACAAAUCGGGCUCCCUGACAAAUCGGGCUCCAUAACAAAUCGAACUCCUUGACAAAUCGUGCUCCCUGACAAAUUGGGCUCCCUGACUGUCACGACCCGAAAUUUUCCACCGACGGGACCGUGAUGGCGCCUAACAUUUCACUUGCUAGGCAAGCCAACGUUAGAGAAUAAUUAAACCAAUUCCUUAUUCCCAUUCAAUAAUUAACAAUAAUUAACUAAGAUGAAAUAUAAAAAGUGCGAAAUAUCAUAAAACUGUAUUACUUACUACCACCCGGAUCUGGAGUCACAAUUCAUGAACAUUCUAGAAUUUACUUCAAGUAAUAGUCUAAAAGAAAUACAAAUGUCUGAAUGAAAGAAACAGUAGAACAAAAAAGAUAGACGGGAACUUCAAGGUCUGUGAACGCCGAUAGAUCUACCUUGAGUCUCAAGACAGCGGACCAAUAUCAAAAUCUCGAUCAAUCCGAGCCGGUAUCAAAUUCUGCAUAGAAAGUGCAGAGUACAGUAUCAAUACAACCGACCCCAUAUACUGUUAAGUGUCGAGCCUAACCUUGACGAAGUAGUGACGAGGCUAAGGCAAGGCACCUACAAAUCAACCUGUACAAUUUAACAGUUUAUAUACAAAUAACAAGAAUGAAGAACUAAACAGGAAAUGUCCGGAGGGGAACAUACUAAGGGUAAUACAAGAUAAAGAACUAUAACAGAAUGAUCACCGGAGCAGUCAAUAUACCAUGAAUCAACAAGAAUAGUGAAUACAGUAAGGAAAAAUGCACGGCAUCACCCUUCGUGCUUUUACUCUUAAUCUCACCAUAAAAUUAAUAGAAACGACACCACAUCACCCUUCGUGCAUUAACACUCACAUCAUGGCACGACAUCACUCUUCGUGCAUUAACACUCACAAUAUGGCACGGCAUCACCCUUUGUGUAUUAACACUCACAAUAUGGCACGACAUCACCCUUCGUGCAUUAACACUCACAAUAUGGCACGACAUCACCCUUACGUGCAUUAACACUCUCCCUUACCACUAAUNNNNNNNNNNNNNNNCAUGAUAAGAGCGAUAAAUUGAACAACACUAGUAUAACACGUAGCGAUUUGGCAUAGGAAUGAGACAAUAUAAGAAAAAUAGAGAAACAUGGAAAAUAGGUAAAUUGACGGCGCAAAAGUACUCAUCACCUCACAUAUACACUGCUCACAUGAAUUUCACUUAUCAAGUAAUCUAAGGUUCCUAAUUCCCUCAAGUGAGGGUUAGACACAACACUUACCUCGCUUCGAAGGCCACUUAAUUCUCAAUCACAUCUUUUCCUUUGGAAUUCACCUCCAAACUACUCAUAUCUAUUCAAAAAAUGACUCAAUAAUAUCAAAUAUUGCUAAAGGAAUCAAAUAUAUUGCAUAAAUUAAAUUUUCCAAAUUUUCUUCCAAAAAGUCAAAAAAUCGACCCCAGGCCCACUUGGUCAAAACCCGAGGUUCGCACCAAAAUCUAUUUACCCAUUCAUCCCCGAGCCUAAAUAUAUAAUUGGUUUUGGAAUCCGACCUCAAAUUGAGGUCUAAAUUCCCAAAUUUCCGAAAUCCUUAGUUUCUACCCUAACCCCUAAUUCUUCCAUGAAAACUCUAGAUUUUAAGUUGAAAAUUCAAGAAAUGUAAUGGGUAAUUGAAAGAAAAUGGUUUAGAAUAACUUACCAACAAUUUGGGGAAGAAAUGGCUCUUGAAAAAUCGCCUCUCGACGUUUGGUUUUUGAGAAAAAUAAUUUUUGGCUAAAAUCCAGUUUUUGGAUUCUGUUAGAUGCUGGGCGACAAUGUUCAUCACGUUCGCGAGAGCACUGUCGCGUUCGCGAAGGGUCCUGGCUGCCAAGCCUUCACGUUCGCGAGACCCAGCUCGCGUUCGCGAUGGUUACUCCCCCCCGGCCUUCGCGUUCGCGAGGUAUUGCUCGCAUUCGCAAUGAAGGAACGACUAACUCCCCCUCCCCAAUGCCUAACACUACGGAAACCUUUCGGAAACAUAAAAUCUUUCCGGAAACCUACCCGAACUACG
rnacentral:lncRNA from 1 species